rnacentral:rRNA from 1 species
UGGGGAAUAUUGGACAAUGGGCGCAAGCCUGAUCCAACCAUGCCGCGUGAGUGACGAAGGCCUUAGGGUUGUAAAGCUCUUUUGGCGGGGAAGAUAAUGACGGUACCCGCAGAAUAAGCUCCGGCUAACUUCGUGCCAGCAGCCGCGGUAAUACGAAGGGAGCUAGCGUUGUUCGGAAUCACUGGGCGUAAAGCGCACGUAGGUGGAUAGUUAAGUGAGGGGUGAAAGCCCGAGGCUCAACCUCGGAAUUGCCUCUCAUACUGGCUGUCUCGAGUCCGAGAGAGGUGGGUGGAAUUCCUAGUGUAGAGGUGAAAUUCGUAGAUAUUAGGAAGAACACCGGUGGCGAAGGCGGCCCACUGGCUCGGUACUGACACUGAGGUGCGAAAGCGUGGGGAGCAAACAGGAUUAGAUACCCCAGUAGUCCCUGAGCGGGCUGGCAAGGCGCAU